UACGGAGGGGGCUAGCGUUGUUCGGAAUUACUGGGCGUAAAGCGCACGUAGGCGGCUUUGUAAGUUAGAGGUGAAAGCCCGGAGCUCAACCUCGGAAUUGCCUUUAAGACUGCAUCGCUCGAAUCAUGGAGAGGUGAGUGGAAUUCCGAGUGUAGAGGUGAAAAUUCGUAGAUAUUCGGAAGAACACCAGUGGCGAAGGCGACUCACUGGACAUGUAUUGACGCUGAGGUGCGAAAAGCGUGGGGAGCAAACAGG
rnacentral:rRNA from 1 species